rnacentral:rRNA from 1 species
CAAUCUGCCUUGGAGUGGGGAAUAACGGCUGGAAGCAGCCGCUAAUACCGCAUGACGCGUCUGGGAGGCAUCUCUCUGGACGCCAAAGAUUUAUCGCUCUGAGAUGAGCUCGCGUCUGAUUAGCUAGUUGGCGGGGUAACGGCCCACCAAGGCGACGAUCAGUAGCCGGACUGAGAGGUUGGCCGGCCACAUUGGGACUGAGACACGGCCCAGACUCCUACGGGAGGCAGCAG